rnacentral:rRNA from 1 species
AUACGGAGGACGCGAGCGUUAUCCGGAUUCAUUGGGUUUAAAGGGUGCGCAGGCGGCCGUGCAAGUCAGCGGUGAAAGCCCGGGGCUCAACCCCGGAAGUGCCGUUGAUACUGCAUGGCUGGAAUGCGGUCGAGGCGGGCGGAACGUGGCGGGGUGCGGGGGAAUGCGUAGAUAUGCCACAGAACGCCGAAAGCGGGGGCAGCUCGCCAGGCCUGUAUGGACGCUCGGGCACGAAAGCGUGGGGAUCGAACAGGAUUAGAUACCCUGGUAGUCCACGCCGUAAACGAUGGGCGCUCGUCGUCGGCGGCAGACAGUCGGCGGCCAAGCGAAAGCGAUAAGCGCCCCACCUGGGGAGUACGGUCGCAAGGCUGAAACUCAAAGGAAUUGGCGGGG